AGCAGCAAGCUUUAACAUCCAAUCAGCAACAGUGGGAUUCAAAAAUUACCCAAUCAGGAUCACGGGAGCAGUGUGGCCGAGCCUGGCCCGGACAGCGGGCAUGGGACGGUCGGGAGGCCCAGCCCCAGCAAAGCCCACCGGCCACAACCUCCAGCCGGCCCCGCACAGCACCGGCCCACGGAGAUGCAGAGCGGCGGGGAGACGGGGAGCGGCCACGUCCUGGCGCCAGACAGUGUUCCCCGUCAGUCUGAGGCCACUUUAUGCUUUGUUCCCUCCUGUGCUGCGUGUCCAAGCAUUUGGCGGUGUCUGGUGUCUGGAGACUGUCGUCAUUUUUGCUGCUCAGUAAGGAUGACAGUGCUUUUGUCCAGAGGCAAACUGGUAGUUGCUUUGUGUCAUGUGGCCAGGAGAUCCAAUGCCUUGGAUAUUUGUGGGGUUAAUACUGGGCAGAUUAGAGUGCUGUCAGUCACUGUUCUCAGCGUAUCCGUGCAUAUCAAACUUCUAGUGACAAUGACAGUAAUAAUAAUAAUAGCAGUUACCACUAAGAAAGCUACGUUUAAACCCUCAUUUGAGCAUCUAAUUUAAUUCUCCAAAAAUUCCACAAGGAACAUAGUAUUAUUUUUCUCAAGUUUUGCUUGAUAAAACUGGAUGCUAGAGAUCCCAGUCCAAAGCAUGUGUCUCAUUGAUAGUGAUGCCAAGAUUGGAACUCAAGGAACCUCGACCUGGUCCCCAAGUUUGUACUGACUCUGCUUGGUUCCCUGAUUGUUCUUGCAGCUGUGGAGUAGAUGGGUUAGGUGUGCCGUCCUCAUACCUGGUCAUAAUAGAAUCAUCGUUUCUUGGCCCUGGUCUCCUCUCCUGCUGACAGGGCAGGUGGCAGCAAGCUGUUUCUGCCACACGAGCGUGACGGAGCCCCUCAGCUUUCUCAUUGGGUCAUUCUCUUUCCUUUCUGCCGAUGUGUCUUGUGCCACCGUUGCCAGAUUUCCUAGCCCACUGCCCUGGAAGAAAACGUAUUUCCUCUGAUGGCCACGUGGCCAGAGCAGCCGCAGAAGGCCUGCAGGGUUGUGCUGCUGUUUGUUUUCUGCUGGCUGCAUCUGUACCCUUCCAGAAAACGCUGAGAUUCAGCAGUUGUUCAGAGGCAGGGACGUCUCAUUAUCAUCCUGUAGGCUGUCGCUGUGACAAGUCUUCAUAGUCAAGUCAGCAAAGAGACAGGCUUCCUUUGCCAGUCACAUGGGCUCUGGUUUGUUUGGAGAUAUGAUGUGUGACGCCUUUGAUGGGCCAGCGUAGGGACACUGGGAAGGCCCCAGCGGGAUGGUGUAAUUGAACCGGGGACUCCUCUGUGCUUGCUCAUAUGUGGUAUGGGUAAUUCAUGUAGUGCCACCCGUCCUGCGUCCUGGAAUGGGCUGACUUGGAUCUGUCUGCUCUUUAGGGUUGCUGCCUCCAGAUACUUUCAGCAGGUAUCAUUUCAUUAUUUGACAUUGCCUGUUAAACGCCUGUACUUCCCUUUCCCCAUCUCGACACAGAUCGAAAUGCUUUUCCUUUUGCCCCUAGUAACACAUGCUUCUGUUUGUGGGUGACCACGAUCCUGGGCUUUGACCUCACGGAAGAGCAGGAAGGGGUGCUGGUCAGGAACUGGUAGGCUUCUGACCCUCUGACCCUACUGCCCAGGCUGGUGUGGGGUUGGGACUGUGGCUGAGGACCAGAAGGAACAUUCUAGUCCAGGAACAUUCCAGGAACACCUGGCUAGGAGUUGAAGAAGAGAAGUGAGCAUAGCUCCUUCCUGUAAAAAUGCCAUUUAUACUGAAUUUUCCUCUCCUUGGAACUGGCUGUUCUUUUGUCCUAACAGAGACUCGUGUUUGCUGUGGAGGAGAGACUACGUGAGUGCUGGGGCCGCAGCUCAGAGAGGGUUUGCUAGGAGUUUCAAGGCUUCUUGUCAGCUGGGGAGAACGUCAUCCUUCCAGUCAGGAGUAGUUAUUUGUCAGAUUGCUUGGGACUGGAAAGAGAUCAGUACCAGAUGGCCUCCUGGCCCCAGAAGUUCCUUCUGGAACUGAGCAGGACUUUUCUUGUCGCUGUGAUUCAGUGACAGCAGGUGUUGAUGGUGGCCCCAUCGGGUGCCUGGCAUGGGCCCGUACCCCCUGCCCGCCCUCCUCCAUGGCCAAGGCGCAUUUGCGUGUGGAGACAUACCAGCGGCCCCUGUUGAGCUGACUUGGUUGCCUGAAGCGAGGAUGGUUAGAUGGGUAAUUGAUGGAAGGAAAAAGCCAAGGGAAGAAGGUGCCUGCUGGGUAACCAGCUAGCGUACGAGGCUGUGCAUGCAUAGCUCAAGCCGGUGACCUUUCCAGACUGAGGCUUUUCCCUUCUCUUCUUUCUCUACUUUUUAUUUUAUAAUAAUAACUUUAAUAAUUCCUUGCUCUUUAUGAGCCAUGCACUAAACUCUUUCUCCUGUCAUUCCUUUGAUCUUUCAUGACUCUUAUCUUUAUAUUAAAAAUAGGGAAAUUGGGGCCCAGAGAGGUAAAAUAAAGUGUCACACAUUUUGCUGAGUGGCAGAAAGGGGGUCCAGGGCAGGUCCCUCUCACUGGACAGUCCAAGCUCUUCACCUUGUACCUUUUCUCCCUCUCUCUCGUCUUCUCUUCCGUAGGGAUUGUCGGGCACAUACCUUGUGCCAGUUGGCAGUGGAGUUUGAGAGAUGGAGGACGUAGGGCUUCCCUUAUCGAAAUUGACUUACAGGGACAUGCAGAUGCUUCUGGUCCUUUGUAAGGCAAGGGGAGCCCAAGAUUGCAUGAAGCCCAUGAGGCGUAGGGAUGGCUUGUAGAGUUUGAGCACAGUGGGCUUUCUUCUGCAGGGAGCCUGAGCCCUUGGGCUCAAACUUGGGGGAAAAGCCCCAAGAUGAGAGAGUUUAAGGUUUAUGUCACACCUCGGCUUGCUACCAUCUCAUGAUUUCUUGCCUCUGUCAGAAUUGACUCCAAAAUCCCUAAGUGCCAGAAGAAAGGCCUUAUUAUAUCAUCUUGCCCCUGGUUAUAUUGAUGGCUUCAUUUCCUACCUCUCUGCCCAGAGACCCCCUGGCCUUCCUGCCUCUCCUUGAUGCACUGUGGCAUUCAGUGUUCUCUCUGGUCUCCCCUUGCCCUUCCCUGUUAGUCUGCUCCUUUCCUGUCUCUUUCUUCUUUCUUUUAAAUUUUCCUUGUGUGAGUUAAACUUCAAAGGUUUUCUUGGGCAAAGCAGACACAUUUGGCCUAUAGAAUCACCCAGAGGCUAAUUUGUAACAGCAAAUUGUUUGUAAAGGGAUAGUUUUUUGUUUGAGUAAGCAGGAAGAAAGCAAACCAUCCAGGGUUGGGGUCAGAUACCGUUCCUUGUAGUUCUCAAGGUUUCUGAGGCCAGCCUCUCUGGUUCUCCUAUUGUUUUGAACUCCUUUGGGCAUUGGUCUUUGUACCUGAAAUAGCCUCAUAUUUAAAUCAGUGUGCACAUUUAUAACAAGAUCUGUUGGAUGACUUGCUUAGAAACUUUUUUUUUUUUUUUAAGACUUAGAGCAGAAUCAUGAGAUCUUCUGGCCUUUGGGUUGGUCAGCUCCAUCCAAACUUUUUCCUAAAGCAAGUCUGGCCUUCUAUGUGGCUUGUCUGCUUUGUAGACUGUUAGGGGGAUGGGAUUUGACUAGCUGAACACCAUGGCCUUUCUUGCUGCUAAUUUUAUUUUAGCUCUGAGGGUUCUGGUGUUGGUUCAUUCCUUAUAGCUGUACGGUCAAUUGUACCUUCGAAUUGUACCAGUCUGCCCAUGGCAGACUGGAUUCAGAUGAGUAGCACCACCCAGAUCUCUCUUCAUGGAUUUCCUACAUCUCUGAAGUUGUCUCAUGCAAUUCAGAAUUUAUUUCCUAUUUUGACUUCAGGGUUUCUUUGUACAAAUUACUGGGUGUGGCCCUCUUUUGCAAGAAGGACAAGGUGAAAGACCAUUGUGUGGCCAGUCUGUGGGGCAGAUCUUUGUGAGAAAUAAAAUCACAUUUUGUUAUUUUGGCUGCAUGACUCAAAAAGUAUGAAAACUCAGAAUGAAUAUUUGCUUUUUAGUUAGGUGACUGCAUAUACUUCACAUGGCUGAAGUCACUUCUUUAAUAUGCUCAACUUGUGACCAUUCCAAAAUUGUGCUGUGCCCAGAAGCCCUGGGUGCCGUUCUUGACUAAGUACCUCAAUGCUCCUGUGACUCCACCUCUGCUACCCCUAGCGCCACCCUCCUCCUCCUCCUCCUCCUCCUCCCCUCCUCCUCCUCCCCUCCUCCCUUGCCUUCUCUUUGUCAUCGUCACCAUGUCUUUAGUUUUUACCUGGCAAAGGCCUAAACUCCCAGUGGCCUUACCUCCUAAUACCAUCACCUUGGGGGUUAGGUUUCAACAUAGGAAUUUUGAGGUUUCAACAUACAAAUUUGGGGAGAUCCCAAAACAUUUAGUCCAUAGCAGUAGGAAGUAUUUGGCAUAUUGUUUCUAUGAUCCUAGGAUAAAAAUAUACUACGGAGAUGCUAGUGUUACAGCAAACAAGACCGAGAAACAAACCAAGAGAGCCACACAAGAGUACUGCAAAACAGGCUUUUACUACGCUGGUGGGCUCAGAGGGGUCUCACCUCCAAAUUCUGAGCAAAAUGGGGUCUGAGCAUGGUGGGUUUUAUAUGAUACAGAAGCAAAUGUUUACAAAGUCUGCACGAGAGUAAGGUCUAGUCUCAUGGUACCCUGUAGUUGUUUAGUCAUGCUAUUUUGCAAUUAUGCACAAGACUGAGAUCUAGUUAAAGGUCACUCUUUAGUUGCUUAGUCAUGCUAGUUUGCAGUUACCCUGCUAUUAGGAAGGGAGUGGAAAAAUUCUCCCUUAUACUAGCAUAUAUAAAAUAUCAUUGUUUUCUUGCUGUUUGGGGGGGGAGAUACACAUACACACACAUAUAUAUUGUAGUUUUUAUACGUAACAUACUUUGCUGAUGCUAAAUUUUCCAAUGUCAAGUAGGAAAAAUAAUUCUUUUUUUUCUUUUUGGAAAAAUAAUUGUUACUUCCCAGUUUUGAGUAUCAGGUUGAUUAUAUAAAAUCUGUGAAAAUGCUGUCUGUAUAAACCUUAAAGUUCUAUUGAAAUGUUGGUUAAAAUGGAGACAAUCAUAGUAAUGAUAACUUGAGUUGUAUGCUAGGCUCCUGUUUAUGAAAUAAAUUAGGUCAUUUACUGAAAGCUCAAUUAAUGAGUAUGACUAAUAAAUUUUUUUAAAAAUCACUUUAGAAAUCAGGAGCAAGGUAGAAUUACUUACAAAUGACAUUGAAAUCGGGAGGUUUCAAGAAAAAUUGAGUAUCGUUUUUUUAAGACUGUCAGUUUCUUUUUCCUAGAAUGUGGAGGGGCAACCAACAGAGUGUCUUGAAGGUCCUUUCCCAUUUUUUUUUUUUAAAGCAUAAAAAUGCUAACUCUCCCUGGGUGUUUGGUUGUAAUGGAAAAAAUGUUCUCCUGUCGGCCCUAUUGGAUCAUGGUCAGAAUCGUUUGAUAGAAUCUACAGUAGCUUCCAUGAAAUGAAGAAAGUUUGUUGAUGGGAAGAUUUGUUUCUCUCUGGCCUUAUAUUUUAGAAUUCAUCUUGUAUUCCUCUUCCCACUGAUGGGGGACGGUGGCUUUGGUAGUCAGGGCAGCAGGGUGUGGAAGGCACCAAGGCCUUUCGGAAUUUCAGCUCCCUGGCGACAUUGCCAGCUUGCCUUCCUUUUUAAAGGAGAUAAAUUACUCUUUCUCUCUUUGUCUGUUUCUCAGCAAGGCUGUUUAACUUUAAAGGCCUUAGGCAUUAAGGAUCCAGGGAUCUGUGUUUUAGAGCUGAGUGUUCUUGUCUAACCUUUCAGAAGCCAAGCUCAGAGCCAGAGCUUUCAGAGCCAAAGCUCUCUCGAUGGCUGAAUACCCCCUUUGCUCUAUUGAGCCAGGGCAGCGAAGCUUGCUUCUAGGAUAACAGGGCUUUUCUCCUCUACUCCGUUGACUCUUGAAACCUCAGUCAGGGAACCACUUUUCACAAUGUCUUGUUAUGGACAGGAUUGGGCCAAAUAAAUAUAUUUUCCUUUGGAAAGUAACGUGUACUUGCACAAAAGGACAGUCUUGUCUAGUGCACGUGGUAUUUGAAAUGCAGUAAGAAUGUCGGUUCAGGAGUUAGAAUGAAUUGGAUCUAGUAUUUGGCUCUGUGGCUUUCUAGUUUUGUGAUCUUGGACUACUUAUUCUGUCUGAGCCCCAACUUACCCAUCUGUAAAGUGGGAAUCACACUUAGUUCUCAGCAUAGCUUAUGGAGGAGGCAAGUGCUUAUGUUGCCUGGCCCCUGAGUAAGUGCUCAUUCAAUAUUAAUCUCAGUUUUUCUUUUUUUUUUCCAUGACCAUUCAUGCAGUGUAGUAUCUCAUAUAUGGAAAAGGUCACAGUUAUUUCUCUUGGGGAGCUUUUCAAACCUUCUGCCCCAGUGGGCUAUAUUAGUAUGCUCCUCUUGAGAGGUGAGCAGUCCCUGGGCUGGUUUGGAUGUGAGAUUUUCGCAUGUCCAGGCCAUGUGUUCCCAGAAUAAUUCAGAAGUCAUGGCAGAAGUAAAGUACCCAGCCUGGUAAAAACACUACAUUUGGAUACAGAGAUUCUGUCCUUGAAAUGACAUUCUACCUUUGGGAUCCAUCUUUAAAACAAUUGAGGAGUUGAUUGUGGAUCAGACCCACCAUCAGUGGAAUGAAGAGUCAGAGAAUGGAGGAGAAUCAUAAAGUGUGACUUUUUUUUUCUUUUGGGAGAGCUGUUGGGUGGAAUGAAUUGAUAUAGCCAUUUGGGGGAGCUACAUAGUAAUUCAGUAAAGUUGAAGAUUUCUGUGUUUUUGGGUCAGGUAAUUACAUUUGUAACUUACAGAAAUUUUGAACCAUGGAGCUUGGGUGACAUCUACAAGAAUAUUGCCAACAGUUUGUGAUGGAGGAAACCUGGCUACAUCCCAAAUGACCUUUAUCAGACAAUAGGUGACUUUGCUGUGGUUUGUUCACAUACUUUUGGAGACCGUGCAAUUGCUAAAAUAAAGAAAUAGGACCCACAGAACAACAUGGAUACAUUUUUUCCUUUACCUAUACGAUUUCAUAUUUUAAAUGUUAAAACAGAUCUGAAGCAAAAAUAGCAAAACACAUUAAAUCUUGUCAAAUGCAGUAGUGACUACAUGGCUGUCCGUUACAUUGUCUCUGGGCACUGGCAACAUUUCUUAAUUUGGGAGAGCUGGUGGGAAAGAAGAAAAAUACUAUGGGAUGGAUUAUGGGCUGCAUUUGGCAUUUAUGUUAUAAAAUACUGUUCUCUUAAGGAAAAUAAGUUGGUCUUGUGUGGCCCAAUGAAGAGUUUUGUGUGGAUGUGGGUGUUUUGAUGGGGAGUAGUUUUUUCCAUUCCAUUUUCUGCUUACCAUUUUUCCCAUUAGCUCUCUGAUGUGAGAAAAAAAUGAGUGAUGGUUCUAGAAGUAGUGUCAACGAGUAGCUAAGUGAUCAGGGCACCUGAAGCUGCCUUUCUGGGUCAUGUCCAACUCCUCUUGUCACUAAGUGUGGUACAGGGGGCAAGAGGUUCAACCCCCUUCUGUCCUGUUGCUUCCCCUAGAAAACUCUCCAGGACAAUAGUGGGGGCUGAUUGGGAUUAUUUCUGCUGAUUUAAGUACAGGACAGUGUUUGACACAGAAUAAAUGUUAGCUGUUUCUUAUUGUUAUAGUUUGAUAUGGGAAAAAGAACUCUAACACAGAGUUCUUAAGGCCUUGGCAAUAGAAGCUUGAGCCAGAUUAUCAUGGCAACAAGAAUUUCCUUGCCGUCUUUGCAGCUCAAGCCCUGGCUGGGCAGUGUAAUCACCAGUGUGUAGAAAUCAUAUCAAAGCACAAACCUGCUUAGAAUAUGGAGAGUGUUAAUAGAGGCUGGGAGCCUUCUUUCCGGCCUGUUCCGGUUCUACAACCAACACUUGAGGAGCUAUUUCCUAUUGAGACCAUUCAGGGAGCUGUUUUCAGAAGAGCCCUGGGACUGCUUGGGGAUGGUGUUAGAAGUACUUGAUUCCAUCUGCGAUGCGAAAUACUUUGCGAGAGAGAGAGGAUCCUGUUUUAAAGGAAUCAUAAUGUUUUUAAUGUUAAUUAUACAGGCUACUUGACUAAUCAGUAAAGUGCCAUCUUUAUAUAUAAGACAAACUGGGAAGUGUUUCAAAAUGAAGAGUACCUAGUGGCUUGAAGGAGAGCUGUUUGCUCUGUAUUUAUAUUUGGGGACUUGGGUAGCUGACGAUUCAGACAUCUAUCAGAUGGAGGGCUGUCUGCUUGGAGUCAUGCCUUAGCUACACACACACACACACACACACACACACACACACCCUUUACAAGACCAUCUUUGUGCCUUUGCGAAGGUCUUUCUGCUCUUUUAAGAGUGCCAUCAUUUCUCACUGAGAUAUAACUGGAGAGCAAAGCUUGCAGAGGCGAUUGGAUUUUUUUUUUCACUCCCACCUUCUGCCUGGAAUUAAGAUAAGGUACAGGCCACAUUGCAUUUCAAUUUUUAUCUACUUGGAUAAGAACCCAUGGUGAAGGACCCAGAUAGUACUGGGGAGAUAUUGUUAAUUGAAACCCAUUCUCUACUUUUGAAGGUCUUCAUCAUGAUUGACUAAAAGCAGUUAAAAAAAAAAAAAGCAUUACAAAUAAGGGCCUCUAGAUAUGAGUAUUUGAUAGUCCAGUGUCUGCCAAUGCAACACAUUACUUCUGUGUUACUCUUAAACAAAUGUAUAACCUCACUCCAAUCCUGGGAUGAUAUGAGACACACCCAAAGUGAGGAACAUUCUCCAGUAACUGAUCAGGACUCUUUUGUCAAGAUCAUGAAAGACCAGGAGUCUGAAGAACUGUUAUAGAUUGGCAGAGGCCAAGGAGAAAUAAUAAUGAAAUGCAGUGUAGGAUCCUGGAAUUGAACCAAGGACAUUAGGAGAAAAUCUGGUGCAAGACAAAUAAAGUUUGUCAUUCGAUAUAAGAUCAUGCCCAUGUUAACUUUCUGUUUUUGGUCAUUGUGCUACUAUGGUUGUGCUAGAUAUCAACAUUUGAGGAACCUGGGUGAGGGGUGUAUGGAAAUUUUUUGUACUAUUUUUGCAACUUUUCUAUAAACCCAAACCUUGUUCAAUACAAAUCUGUUUUUAAAAAAGCAAUAAUUAAUGUGUAUAACCCAAUCAGUUAAGCAUUUUCUGUUCUUAUCCAGAUAGCAAUUUAAAUAGCAGUUCACAAAUAUGUUCACUUUAUGAGUUACAAAACCAUGAAAGAGUUGGUUUUAAAUAUUAAAUGACGAAUUAAUUUUUAAAAUUGAAAGGAUACAUUAAUAAACUUUUCUGAUGUUAGUACCUGGCAUUUUUUGUUGUUACAAAAGUAACAGGCUUAUUGUAAAAAUGUAAACAAUAUAAAGUAUUCUUUAUAUUAUUCAGUAUUAUAGUAUUCAGAAUUAUACUCUUUUCAUGUCUUCACUUGUUCCUCCCAUUGUCACCAGGCUACCUCCCAAUAUGAAGGUAGGUACCGGAUUUUUAUUUCACAAACCUGAGUCUACAUGAUAUAUAUUAAAUAGACUGGGAUCAUAUUGUAUAAGCCCUAUUAAUUAGCUUCUUCCACCCUAUUAACAGUAAUUUGUGGCUUUUUUUCAGUACAUAUUUUUCUAUGUAAUAUCAUGUAUCUAGUGUAAAAAUAUUACAUUUUUUGUAUUUGUCAAAAUUGACAAAUUCAGGACUUAAUUUUAGCAACAAUCUGUAAGAGUUCAUUCAUAAAAUGUUAAACAUUCUUAUACUCCUCCCUUUCUCCCAUCUUUUGACAUUAAAAAAUAUAACUGGUUGAAAUACUACCUUGGGUAGAUUAAAAAAUAAAAAGAAACAUAGCUUACGUUUUUGUGUCAGAAGGAGAGUCUGAGGCCUUUGCCUUGUGCAAUCUUUGUAUUCCUUUUUAUUUCUUUAGUUUCUAAAGUGUAGCUUCCUAGCCAUCAAUCAUCUGGGUCCAAAUAUAACGUUUUACAUUUUAAUUUACAAAGAAGAAAAAUCAGAUUUAAAUCCUACAGUUUGUGGCCUUUAUUUAUUUUGGGGGAUCACUUUGGUUAUGCAGGGAGCACAGGCCUUAGCAUUUGGAUAUUUAUUCCCUAAAUAUUGAGAACGUGGAUAUUAUGUAGCAGUGGAGAGGCAUAUGGGAAUGCUGGCCUGUCCCUCAGAAGUUAAUUUUGGGUUUUUAAACUGUGGUCCAAAUGCUUAGGUUCCUGGCAGGGGGUUAAUAAGUAAACCACAGAGAAGCCCCAAAGGUGCCUACAUGUGGAUGUUCUGUAGUUUAUCAUUAGACCAGAAAGGGAGGAAACAGCUGACCAAACAAUUUACAGAAAUUAAUCAUAAUUGAGUGGUUAAUAAAAAUAUACUAAGCAGGAUAAAUGUCAGUAUUUUUUUGUAUGCCUUGGUAGAAAAAGUAAUAACUACUUAAUUGCAUGUCAGACACAUGCUCGUGGAAUAUUAACAUGUUUGCAUAUGGAAACUUACAUGGUGCAGUGGGACUGGAAUAAUGAAAAUGAUAAUAGUAAAAAGGAGAAAAUGUGAAAUGAAUACUAUUUGAUGAAAGAAAAUAAUCUCUUUGGUUCCAAAGUAUUUAAACUCCAAACAAGCUAUGUUUUGUGGAAUUUCUUGAGUUAGUGACCUUUUGGAAUUAGGAAGAACAAAUUGUGUUCUUGACUAUAGAAGGCCAGCCUAAUUACUCAAAGUACAGUAAACGUCCCUAUCAUUCUUUGGGUUUAAUCUUAACAUAAUUAGCUCCUUGCACAAUAGAGUGUUUAAUUUGAAAUGCUGCCCAGACUCAUUACGUGAGAGAAGUACUUCCUGAGAUCUCUGUUGUUAAAUCUGGAACUUUUUGUAUGAGACAAUUUUCAGUAGAAGUGUCAGGUAUCAGAAUUGUCACUCAGAUUCUAGCAUUUAUCACCAGAAUUCACGGAAACACUUAACACUUUCUGUUUUAUUGAUGGAGCCUUUUAUGAAUAUUGGGGAAUUUGCUGGGUCACGUGGGAAGAAAUUAAUUUCAGGAAAUUUGACAAGACAUCUGAGUGAUAGGUCCAUUUACCCUGUGGAGCCUUCCCCAUACAAUAGCAGUAGUAGAUGUUUUAGAAGAUUUGACAAGACUUCUGAGUGAUAGGUCCAUUUAUCCUGUGGAGCCUUCCCCAUACAAUAGCAGUUGUAGAUGUGAGUGGGUAGGAUGUAAUUCUUUGGAGUUCUGUUUAAUUGUUGAUUGCCGACUCAGGAUAAGUAACGUCAAAUGUGAACACCAAUUUUCUUUAGCUUGCAUUUCUGUUUUGGUUGUGACUUGAUAUUUUCCCAGGUUGAUAAAACACAAUGACUCCUAUAACUUUGGAGUCAGAGUACAGUAUAUUUUAAUAUACUUUGACAGUUUGUAUAUGCAUCAAGUUACAUGGUUUUUACUACCAGCGCAUCUUUUGCUUUAAGAUCACUAACCCGUGCAUACCAGAUUCUUUGAUCCUUUUCAACUGCUUUCCUAUAAUAAUGGAAAAAAUCUAGUCCAGUGUGUAAAAAA